rnacentral:sRNA from 1 species
UAGCAACGGAUUUUCCGUUGCUAAAACAAUUCCAGAAAAAAAAAAAAAACAUGGUUUGCAACGGAUUCCGUUGCAA